AAAAACAUCGCCUCUUGACUUCCAAAUAAGAGGUCCAGCCUGCCCAGUGAAUUUUUAACGGCCGCGGUAUCCUAACCGCGCGAAGGUAGCAUAAUCACUUGUUCUUUAAAUGGGGACUCGUAUCAACGGCAUCACGAGGGUUCUACUGUCUCCUCUUUUUGAUCAGUGAAAUUGAUCUUCCCGUGAAGAAGCGGGAAUAUUAAUAUAAGACGAGAAGACCCCAUGGAGCUUUAAACCAAAUAGCAACUUAACCAUAUAUUGCCUAAUAACUUUAAGCCCGUGCUACAAGGUUUUUGGUUGGGGUGACCGCGGAGUAAAAUACAUCCUCCACGACGGAAAGACUUUAAUCUUUAUUUAAGAACUACAAUUCUAGAAAUUAGUAUACUAACGUUUACUGACCCGACAAUCGAUCAACGGAACAAGUUACCCUGGGGAUAACAGCGCAAUCUACUUCAAGAGCCCAUAUCGACAAGUAGGCUUACGACCUCGAUGUUGGAUCAGGGUAUCCCAGUGGUGCAGCCGCUACUGAAGGUUCGUUUGUUCAACGAUUAAAACCCUACGUGAUCUGAG
rnacentral:rRNA from 1 species